GAUGAACGCUGGCGGCGUGCCUAAUACAUGCAAGUCGAGCGAAUGGAUUAAGAGCUUGCUCUUAUGAAGUUAGCGGCGGACGGGUGAGUAACACGUGGGUAACCUGCCCAUAGGACUGGGAUAACUCCGGGAAACCGGGGCUAAUACCGGAUAAUAUUUUGAACUGCAUGGUUCAAAAUUGAAAGGCGGCUUCGGCUGUCACUUAUGGAUGGACCCGCGUCGCAUUAGCUAGUUGGUGAGGUAACGGCUCACCAAGGCAACGAUGCGUAGCCGACCGGAGAGGGUGAUCGGCCACACUGGGACUGAGACACGGCCCAGACUCCUACGGGAGGCAGCAGUAGGGAAUCUUCCGCAAUGGACGAAAGUCUGACGGAGCAACGCCGCGUGAGUGAUGAAGGCUUUCGGGUCGUAAAACUCUGUUGUUAGGGACGAACAAGUGCUAGUUGAAUAAGCUGGCACCUUGACGGUACCUAACCAGAAAGCCACGGCUAACUACGUGCCAGCCGCCGCGUAA
rnacentral:rRNA from 1 species